rnacentral:rRNA from 1 species
AUGCAGUCGAGCGGUAACACAGAGGAGCUUGCUCCUUGGGUGACGAGCGGCGGACGGGUGAGUAAUGCCUGGGGAUCUGCCCGAUAGAGGGGGAUAACUACGGGAAACUGUAGCUAAUACCGCAUAACGUCUACGGACCAAAGUGGGGGCUCUUCGGACCUCAUGCUAUCGGAUGAACCCAGGUGGGAUUAGCUAGUUGGUGAGGUAAUGGCUCACCAAGGCGACGAUCUCUAACUGGUUUGAGAGAAUGACCAGUCACACUGGAACUGAGACACGGUCCAGACUCCUACGGGAGGCAGCAGUGGGGAAUAUUGCACAAUGGGCGCAAGCCUGAUGCAGCCAUGCCGCGUGUGUGAAGAAGGCCUUCGGGUUGUAAAGCACUUUCAGCGGGGAGGAAGGGUCACUAGUUAAUACCUAGUGGCAUUGACGUUACUCGCAGAAGAAGCACCGGCUAACUCCGUGCCAGCAGCCGCGGUAAUACGGAGGGUGCAAGCGUUAAUCGGAAUUACUGGGCGUAAAGCGCACGCAGGCGGUUUGUUAAGUCAGAUGUGAAAUCCCCGAGCUCAACUUGGGAACUGCAUUUGAAACUGGCAAGCUAGAGUCUUGUAGAGGGGGGUAGAAUUCCAGGUGUAGCGGUGAAAUGCGUAGAGAUCUGGAGGAAUACCGGUGGCGAAGGCGGCCCCCUGGACAAAGACUGACGCUCAGGUGCG